GGGGCUAUAGCUCAGCUGGGAGAGCGCUUGCAUGGCAUGCAAGAGGUCGACGGGUCGAUCCCGUCUAGCUCCACCA
rnacentral:tRNA from 1 species